GAUGAAGAACGUAGCGAAAUGCGAUAAGUAAUGUGAAUUGCAGAAUUCAGUGAAUCAUCGAAUCUUUGAACGCACCUUGCGCCCUUUGGCUAUUCCGAAGGGCAUGCCCGUUUGAGUAUCAUGAACACCUCAACUCUCAUGGCUUGCCAUGAUGAGCUUGGACUUUUGGGGGUCUUGCUGGCCUGUGGUCAGCUCCUCUCAAAUGAAUUAGCCUGCCAGUGUUUGGUGGCAUCACAGGUGUGAUAACUAUCUAUGCUUGUGGUUUUCCACCAGGUAACCUUCAGUGAUGAAGGUUCGCUGGGGCUCAUAAACGUCUCUCCUCAGUGAGGACAGCUCUUUGAACGUUUGAUCUCAAAUCAGGUAGGACUACCCGCUGAACUUAAGCAUAUCAAUAAGCGGAGGA
rnacentral:misc_RNA from 1 species